rnacentral:rRNA from 1 species
AGCGAACGCUGGCGGCAGGCCUAACACAUGCAAGUCGAACGAACCCUUCGGGGAUAGUGGCGGACGGGUGAGUAACACGUGGGAACGUGCCUUUAGGUUCGGAAUAACUCAGGGAAACUGGUGCUAAUACCGAAUGUGCCCUUCGGGGGAAAGAUUUAUCGCCUUUAGAGCGGCCCGCGUCUGAUUAGCUAGUUGGUGAGGUAAUGGCUCACCAAGGCUACGAUCAGUAGCUGGUCUGAGAGGAUGACCAGCCACAUUGGGACUGAGACACGGCCCAAGCUCCUACAGGAGGCAGCAGUGGGGAAUCUUGCGCAAUGGGCGAAAGCCUGACGCAGCCAUGCCGCGUGGAUGAUGAAGGUCUUAGGAUUGUAAAAUCCUUUCACCGGUGAAGAUAAUGACUGUAGCCGGAGAAGAAGCCCCGGCUAACUACGUGCCAGCCGCCGCUGUAACAC